UCGAGUUUACAACUCCCAAACCCCUGUGAACUUAUACCUAUACCGUUGCUUUGGCGGGGUCUCUUUUCGCCGCGGGUCAUUGACCUGCCCGGAACCAGGCGCCCGCCAGGGGACCUAAACUCCUGUAUUCUUUUUUUGCAUAUCUGAGUGGAAUCAUAUAAUGAAUCA
rnacentral:misc_RNA from 1 species